AUACUAUACUGUAUCUGUCCUAUGGCUGGUAGCUCAGUGGGACGGGAUGCCUCAGCAUGGGCCAUCAAUGGUACCCCCCUCCACAUCAUCAUACCGUGCCUCUACGAACAUAUUGAAAGACCCCAGCUUAGCAGCAGUAACGCCAUUUUGCAAGGCUAUAUUUAAGAUGACUGAUUCAGAGAAAGGUUAGAACACUGAGUACACAGCGGCUGCCAAACAAGAUGUGUUUGGUUGAAGGCCUGGCAACAGGAGGACUGCCGUUGAGCACCUGACAAUGAGAAAAGCCCCGGGAGAGGUCCCACACCCUGGUGGGGGGCCGAGUCAGCCGUUAUGUUCCAAGAAGGUAGCUAAGAAACUUGCCCCCGGGCUGAACCCUUGCCACAUUAGAAUCCACCAAUUAUAUCCCUGUAACCAUGCAUCUGCUUCUGUAUGCUUGCUUCUGCUCCCCAAAAUCCUAUAAAAAGUCCAUCCUUGGUUCCGUGGGGCGUGCCAGUCCCCCGAGUGACUGAAGCGCCCGCAGGUGCCUGUGCCUGUGUAUCCCGACAAUAAACCAAAUCCUCUUGCUGAUUGCAUCCUGUGGUGUCUCGGUCUGGUCUUUAAAGUUGGAGGGUCUCCAUCCCGAGGGAAAGUUCUCCCUGAGAGCUUUUCAUUUGGUGCAUUGGCCGGGAAAGGAGAUCCUCCACCCAGGGACCACCGACCACCCACUGGGAGGUAAGCCGGCCGGCGUCUGUCUGUCUGUCUGAUUUUGUCUCGUUCUGCCUUAUUCUGUCUGUUCUGUGAGCGCUCAGCCAGGUCUGUUCUGUGAGCGCUCAGCCAGGUCUGUUCUGUGAGCGCUCAGCCAGGUUGUUUGGAAUUUGGGCGGGACGAAGAAGGAGCUGACGAGCUCGGACUUCUCGCCCCGCAGCCCUUGAAGACGUUCCAAGGGUGUUAGGGGCCCGACUUUUCGGGGCCCAAUCUGGGACUCUGGUUGGAGGAGAAAGAUCUGGACUAACGGCACCUCUGUCUGUAUUUUUGGCUUUCAGAGGGCCCCGGACCUUUGCCACCUCCAUCUGACUUUUUGCUUUCAGUUUGGUACCAAAGCCGUGCAGCACGCCUGUCUGUUGUUUGUUUGACUGUUGGUGUUGUUUGUUUUCUCUGUGUUCUAAUCUUCCUUAGAACUAACAUGGGACAGUCCCUAACAAUGCCCCUAAGUCUCACUCUUGAUCAUUGGGAAGACGUCCACGACCGGGCACACAACCAGUCCGUCGAGGUUAAAAAAGGAAAAUGGCAGACUCUCUACACAUCCAAGUGGCCCACUUUCGGAGCGGGAUGGCCAGUGAAUGGCACAUUUAAUAAGAUCAUUAUUUUACAGGUUAAAGAUCGGGUCGUCCACGGACAUCCUGACCAGGUUCCUUAUAUUAUCACUUGAGAGAGUCUCGCCUUAAAACCCCCCUCCUGGGCGGAACCCUUUGUGGACCCGAAUUGGCCUCCCCUCAACCCCCAGCCUGUCCCCUCGGCCCCGCCCGGUCCGCCGGCCACGUCUUCCUCUCUCUACCUUUGUGAAAUCAGAGCCUUCUAAGAAACCUGUCCUCCCGGCAGACCCAAACUCCCCUCUCAUAGAUCUUCUCUCUGACAGGCCCGGCUGAAACGGAGGAGGUAGAGCCGCCGGCCAGAUCAGUUGCCGGGCCACAGUCUGAUAAGGGUUUCUCCCCUGUCACAGGGAGAUUGCGCAAUAAGCGCGAGGUGAUGCCAGAUUCAACCUCCCAGGCUUUCCCACUUAGACAGGGAACCGGUGGCCAGACCCAAUACUGGCCGUUUUCAGCAGCUGACAUUUACAAUUAGAAACAACACAACCCUUCUUUCUCCAAAGAUCCGGUGGCACUCACUGACCUAAUAGAAUCUGUUUUACUUACCCACCAGCCUACUUGGGAUGACUGACAACAGCUCUUACAGGCCCUUUUAACCUCAGAAAAAAAAAAACAAAGAGUGUUCCUAGAGGCCAGAAAGCAUGUUCUGGGAGAUGAUGGGCGUCCCACCCAGCUGCCUGAGGACCAAACUGGGAUUUUAAUACAGCUGAAGGUAAGGGACACCUAUGCCUUUAUCGCCAGUUGCUUCUAGCGGGUCUCCGAGGGGCUAUACGACGCCCUACUAAUUUGGCUCAGGUAAAACAGGUAUUAUAGGAAGCAGGGGAAACUCCCUCCGCCUUUCUAGAGAGACUUAAGGAGGCCUACCGUAUGUACACUCCCUAUGACCCAGAUGACCCAGGACAAAUGACGAGUGUCUCUAUGUCCUUCAUCUGGCAGGCUGCUCCAGAUAUCAGGACUAAGUUACAGAGGUUAGAAAAUUUGCAGGGCUAUACAUUACAGGAUUUACUUAAAGAAGCUGAAAAGAUUUUUAAUAAGAGAGAGAUAAAAAAGAAACAAAGAAUUGAGUCGAAUCUUGGCCGCCGUAGUUCAGGGCCAAGAAAGGAAGAGAGAUAGGGGGGAGCUCGAAAGGGGCUGAAGCUGGAUAAAGAUCAAUGUGCCUAUUACAAAGAGAAAGGGCACUGGGCCAGAGAGUGCCCCAAGAAGCCUGGCGGACCCCGAAAGCCUCGACCACGAACCUCCCUCUUGGCUCUAGAUAAAGAUUAGGGAGGUCAGGGCCAGGAGCCCCACCCCUGAGCCCAGGGUAACGCUUAAAGUUGGGGGGCAGCCGGUUACUUUCCUGGUAGACACAGGAGCCCAGCAUUCAGUCCUCACCCGAGCUUCAGGACAACUCAGCGACCGGACGGCCUGGGUACAAAGAGCUACUGGUGAGAAACAAUACUGAUGGACUACGGACCGCCGGGUUCAGCUGGCUACCGGUAAGGUGACCCAUUCCUUCUUACAUGUUCUGGACUGCCCGUACCCUCUGCUGGGCCGUGACCUGCUCACCAAGCUAAAAGCACAAAUUCAUUUUGAGGAAGGAGGGGCCCGAAUAACUGGCCCCCACGGAACUCCCCUUCAAGUUCUAACCCUACAAUUAGAGGAUGAAUAUAGACUAUAUGAACCGGGACAGGACAAGCCACAAUCCCUAGAAAUAGACACUUGGGUCACGGAUUUUCCACUGGCUUGGGCAGAGACUGGUGGGAUGGGGUUGGCACUCCAACAGCCCCCCUUAAUUAUACAGUUAAAGGCCACUACAACUCCAGUCUCCAUAAAACAAUACCCCCUGUCACAUGAAGCUUAUCAAGGUAUAAGGCCUCACAUUACGAGGCUUCUAGAUCAAGGCAUCCUAGUCCCCUGCCGGUCACCUUGGAAUACGCCUCUUCUGCCUGUUAAGAAACCCGGCACUGGAGAUUAUAGGCCAAUACAAGACUUGAGAGAGGUCAACAAGAGGAUAGAAGAUAUUCAUCUGACUGUUCCAAACCCUUACAAUUUGCUCAGUAACUGUUCAUCGAUGAGAAACAGGGGUAUGCUAAAGGGGUCCUAACACAAAGGUUGGGACCCUGGAAACGCCCUGUGGCCUACCUGUCUAAGAAAUUGGACCCUGUGGCCUCCGGCUGGCCACCGUGCCUAAAGAUGGUGGCUGCUAUUGCUGUCCUGAUCAAGGAUGCUAGAAAAUUGACUUUGGGACAGCCACUCACCAUCCUAGCACCCCACGCAGUGGAGGCCUUGGUAAAGCAGCCCCCAGACCGCUGGCUCUCUAAUUCCCGCAUGAGAGGGAGAGCGAAAGGCUGGAGCUGCGGUCACUAUGGAGGACAAAGUGAUUUGGGCGAAAGCCCUGCCUGCUGGUACCUCCGCACAACGGGCUGAACUCAUUGCCUUGACUCAGGCGCUCAAGAUGACAAAAGGUAAGAGGCUAAAUAUAUAUACAGACAGCCGUUAUGCCUUUGCCACGGCACACAUCCACGGGGAGAUCUACCGGAGGCGGGGGCUGCUCACAUCUGAGGAUAAAGAUAUUAAAAAUAAGGCUAAAAUUCUGGCCCUCUUAGAAGCCCUAUUCUUGCCCAAAAGACUGAGUAUUAUACAUUGUCCAGGACACCAGAAAGGGCACAACCCAGAGGCACGAGGAAACCGGCUGGCCAAUGCCACAGCGCGAGAAGCGGCCAUGAGCAAACAAAUCUUGCCCUUAAAUAGCCCAGACCAACCCACGCCCCCACCAGUGGGACAAACUAGUUGGGUUUAUGCCCAUGAGGACAUAGAGCUCCUAGAAAAAAUGGGGGCCAUCUACCACCCUCAACUAACAAAGAAAAGACAAUUAUGCCAAUAAAAAUGACUUUUGAAUUGAUCUCCUUUUUACACAAAUUAACCCAUUUGGGGUUUAAGAAGAUGAAAACCUUACUAGAUCGAGAAGAGAUAAAUCUGUGUUUUUUAAAUCGGGACAAAGCGAUACAAAAGGUGACUGAGAGUUACAAAGCGUGCGCUCAGGUUAACCCGGGAAGGACCAUGAUUGGACAAGGAGUUCGUCCUAGGAGACACCGUCCCGACAUCCAUUGGGAAAUUGAUUUUACUGAAAUUAAACCAGGUACAAGUAUCUCCUAGUGUUUGUAGACACCUUCUCAGGAUGGGUCGAAGCCUUCCCCACAAAACACGAGACUACAAAAAUGGUCACCAAGGAGCUCCUCGAGGAAAUCUUUCCCAGGUAUGGCAUGCCUCAAGCGUUGGGGUCGGACAACGGGCCCGCUUUCGUCUCCCAAGUAAGUCAGUUGGUGGCCAAAUUGCUGGAGAUUGAUUGAAAAUUACAUUGUGCCUAUAGACCCCAGAGUUCAGGUCAGGUAGAACACAUGAAUAGAACAAUUAAGGAGACUUUAUCCAAACUUACGCUUGCAACUGGCUCAAAGGAUUGGGUGGCCCUCCUUCCCCUAGUUCUAUAUCGGGCCCAGAAUACCCAGGGCCCCCAUGGUCUAACUCCUUUUGAAAUAAUGUAUGGAACACCACCCCCAUUUGUCCAUUUCUUUGAUUCAAACAUUGCUGAUUUUGCUGACAGCCCUUCUCUGAGGGCCCAUUUACAGGCCCUACAGAUUGUGCAGAGAGACGUCUGGAGACCUUUGGCCGCUGCUUACCAGGACAAGCUUGAGCAUCCGGUGGUGCCACACCCGUUCCAGAUUGGAGACACCAUGUGGGUGCGCAGACACCAGACCAAGAAUCGCAAGCCACGGUAGAAAGGACCCUACACCGUCCUCCUGACUACCCCGACCGCCCUAAAGGUAGACGGAGUCUCGGCUUAGAUCCACGCACCACACGUCAAGGCAGUCCGGUCUGAGAAAUUGACUAAUCACAACACUACACCCCAGACAUGGAGAGUUCAGCGCACUCCAAACCCCUUAAAGUUAAAACUCCUACGUGGCUCCUCCUAGCCCUUUUGUGGCCUAGAGUCAGUGGGGGAAUAAGCCCCCACCAGACAGAAAUUUCUUGACCAAGUCGAGUGAAAGAUUUCACUCAAAGUUAACAAAAAAAAAUGGGGGAAUGAAAGACCCCAGCUUAGCAGCAGUAACGCCAUUUUGCAAGGCUAUAUUUAAGAUGACUGGUUCAGAGAAAGGUUAGAACACUGAGUACACAGCGGCUGCCAAACAAGAUGUGUUUGGUUGAAGGCCUGGCAACAGGAGGACUGCCGUUGAGCACCUGACAAUGAGAAAAGCCCUGGGAGAGGUCCCACACCCUUAUGUUCCAAGAAGGUAGCUAAAAAACUUGCCCCCGGGCUGAACCCUUGGGGGGCCGAGUCAGUCCUUAUGUUUCAGGAAGGUAGCUAGGAAACUUGCCCCCGGGCUGAACCCUUGCCACAUUAGAAUCCACCAAUUAUAUCCCUGUAACCAUGCAUCUGCUUCUGUAUGCUUGCUUCUGCUCCCCAAAAUCCUAUAAAAAGCCCAUCCUUGGUUCCGUGGGGCGCGCCAGUCCCCCGAGUGACUGAAGCGCCCGCAGGUGCCUGUGCCUGUGUAUCCCGACAAUAAACCAAAUCCUCUUGCUGAUUGCA